rnacentral:rRNA from 1 species
UCGAGAAUCUUGGGCAAUGCACGAAAGUGUGACCCAGCGACGCCGCGUGGAGGAUGAAGGCCCUCUGGGUUGUAAACUCCUUUUACGGGAGAAGAAUAAUGACGGUACCCCGUGAAUAAGCCACGGCUAACUACGUGCCAGCAGCCGCGGUAAUACGUAGGUGGCAAGCGUUGUCCGGAUUUACUGGGCGUAAAGCGAACGCAGGCGGACUGUUAAGUAGGAAGUGAAAGGUCGGAGCUCAACUCCAACAUUGCUUCCUAUACUGGCAGUCUUGAGUAGCGGAGAGGAAGGGGGAACGACACGUGUAGCGGUGAAAUGCGUUGAUAUGUGUCGGAACACCCAUGGCGAAAGCACCCUUCUGGACGCAAACUGACGCUCAGGUUCGAAAGCCAAGGUAGCG